CAUACAAACUACAUAUGUCAGUAGUUCACCUCUUCUUUAUCCGUGUGGCCCGUUUUGUAAAUAUUUAGCUACAGUUAGGUCGGACAACAAAGAUUGUCGUCCAAACCUAAACCGAGUAUAACAAUUGUCGAGUUAUUUCAUACUUGUGCGUUAACAAAAUCGCACUCUCCAUCGGGAUCGUUUAUUGUGAUUAAUUUGACAUUUAAUCGGAAAGGAUAAUAAUAAAAAUCGCUUUCGAUGAUUUGAACGUAAUGGCAAGGAUGUAACAUGAAAACUAAAUUACAUACUCAGCCUGGUAAUUAUGUUUUGAAAGCUUCAAAUUUCAUCCAGUACCAAAAUUGUAUUGUAGACCAUCGUAAUUAUCGUGUUGUACAUUGUCCGAAUCUAAACGAAUGUCUCAUAAACGAAAAUUCGGAUGAGAAGGUGAAUUGCAACACAGUCCAUUUUGGCUAUGCCGUUCCUGUACUUGUUGUCGAGAGGGAUUCGGAAACGGCACUGUUGAUGCUAGAGAAAGAAGAGCUGAGUAAGCCUGCUAAUAGAAGAUACAUUGAUAUGGCCACAACUGUAAACCAAAGGAAAUUCACUGAACCUGAAGAGGACAUUGCUGCAAUCGCAAAGCAGAUUUCAGACCACGCAGAAGCUAUAUACCAAAAUUGGAAAUCUAGAGGUUUGGCACCGACUGAAAUUCUCUCGUGUAACAAUGUUACGCCGGAGAAAUUCGCGACCAGUCUUUCUCCUAAGAAAACGGUUGAUAUCUUAUCAUCGACAGCCAGCUUGAAUUCCAGUAAUCUCGAGCAGUUAGUUAACAAUUUCGUUGUUGAAGAUAAAGCCAGGCUUGCCAGGCAAAAGUGUUCUCCGACGAAAAAUCUGUCUUCCAUUCAGUACGCUAAACAAAAAUUUGAACAAAACGAUAAAGUGAGGGGAGGUUGUUUGGGAGAUGAUAUUAUUAAAGGCUAUACGAAAUCUCCGACGUUUCCGAACGGAAGAUCGGAAGGGCUCUCUCAAUAUAUUGACGAUUCGAUAGAUGUAACAUCAUCAGAAUUACAGCACUCUUCUACGACGGGCCUUCAGACUUGGCCACUUAAAAAUCGAGCAGUCGGUGCUGAGAGAAGCGCAACAAGGAAAUCCUCUUCGAUCAAACAUGCUCCUCCGAAAAGUGAGUUUAUAGACGAAGUCGCGAAGGAGGAAGAACGGUUAAUAAAUGCCCUUAAGAGCGGCAUUAUAAUCGGAGAGGAUAUACCGGAGCGAGAUACUAAGCCUAGUCUCCUUCAAAAGAAAGCUUUCAAAGAUAAGACCAUGGGGAUUGUAAAGAAAGUAAUUAAAAGUUACCAAGAACAAGCCGAGCAGAGAACGGAAUACGUGGACUAUACUCAAAGCGGCAAAAAAAUUGUGAGGUGUUCUAGAAAACUUGGCGAAGCAGUGCCGCAUCCUGAAUUUAAACAGUACCCUCGGCCUAACUCUGGAAAUCCUGUCAGACCUUUCCUGACGAGAGGUUCGGUUGCAGAACGAGUCCUCAUCUUCGAGAAGUGUCCUGCGGAACUCGGCCUUGACAAAAGAAAACCAGGAUUAACGAAUUUCUCAAGGGAUUCUUUAUCAUGCCAAAAACCAGGUCCUGUACCUCAUACUACCUUACAACGACAUGCCAAAGCAAAUAAAAGCCUUCUUUUACCCAGAUUCUAUUUCCCCCAUGGCAAAGUUAGCAAUCAGGCUGAAAAACACCUCGUACAAGAAGCUCUUAAGGCUUUAUUUCAGACCUUGCCCAAUCAGCAGGCAACUAUUGAGAAGUUUGGAGCAGUGACAAAGGCAUGUGGUUGCCCGCUUUAUUGGAAAGCACCGUUGUUUAUUGCCUGUGGUGGAGAAAAACUAGGCUAUGUAGAAUUAAAUAUGGUUUUGGAUUUUUGGCGGGAACUCACUAGCAAUUAUCACGAUGCAGCAUCACGAUUUUUGAAAAUACUUACACGUGGGCAAGCUAGAAAUUAUUUGUUACCUGAAGACUUUAUGAGUUUAGUUCAAGAUGUUGUUGACACACACCCAGGUUUGACUUUCUUAAAAGAAGCUGUUGAGUUUCAUUCGAGAUACGUUCACACUGUAAUCUCAAGAAUUUAUUAUUGUGUCAACAGUUCUUGGACUGGUAGAAUAACUUUACUAGAACUGAGAAGAAGUAAUCUUCUAUCUGUGAUUUCAUUGUUAGAAAAAGAAGAAGACAUUAAUCAAAUUACUCAGUACUUUAGUUAUGAGCAUUUUUAUGUAAUAUAUUGUAAAUUUUGGGAACUGGAUAGAGAUCAUGAUUUGUUUAUUGACAAAUAUGAUCUUGCAAGACAUUGUGAUCAUGCACUUUCCUCGAGGUUGAUCGAUAGAAUAUUUUCCGGGGCAGUAACAAGAGGAAAGCAAACAAAAAAUGAAGAAACUCACACGCAGAAAAAAAUGUCAUACACUGAAUUUGUAUGGUUUUUGUUAGCAGAGGAAGAUAAAUCACAUCCAAGAGCUAUCGAAUAUUGGUUUAGAUGUAUGGACUUAGAUGGUGAUGGGUACCUUUCUAUGUAUGAGUUAGAAUAUUUUUAUGAUGAACAAUUGCAAAGGAUGGAAGCAAUUGGUAUUGAAUGUUUGCCUUUUGAAGAUUGUUUAUGCCAGAUGCUCGAUAUGGUGAGGCCAGCUAUUCCUGGGAAAAUAUCAUUAAGUGAUUUAAAGAAAUGUAAAAUGACACCAAUAUUUUUUGAUACAUUCUUUAACCUAGAAAAAUAUUUAGAUCAUGAACAGAGGGAUCCAUUUGCAUCACAACGUGACCAUGACAAUGAGAUUUCUGAUUGGGAUCGUUAUGCAGCAGAGGAAUAUGAAUUACUUGUUGUUGAAGAAGGAGGAAAUGAUGUCCAGGACCAUUUCAAACAAAUAUCAACUUGUGGAAAGCUUAAUGAGACAUCAGGACUAUGUUUUUAUCGAAAUAGUUAUGAAUCAAUGGAUACAAUGAUGAGCGCAGGAGAACGUCUUCAUCCUUCCUGCAGAAAGGGGCCCAAUUCGCCCUUAGCACUCCUCACCUCCACCCAACAAUCGCCCAGCCAGCAGAACCACUGACGCUUCAUUUAUCGUUUACUGUUAUUUCUAUAUGUCCGAAAUUUUGUAGGAAAUCAAAAAUAAGUUCGUCACAAGUAGUUAAAUUUGGAGGCGGUCUAAGGCCAACUUUAUGCAAACGGAACUGCAGAUGCCAUUUAUUUAUUUACUGU
rnacentral:misc_RNA from 1 species